rnacentral:rRNA from 1 species
UAUCUCUGUAGAGUCUGCAUAUCAAUAAGCGGAGGAAAAGAAACUAACAAGGAUUCCCUUAGUAACGGCGAGUGAAGCGGGAAGAGCUCAAAUUUGAAAUCUUCAAGGUUCUACCUUGACGAAUUGUAGUUUAAAGAGGUGUUUUCUGUUAGAUGAGUAGCAAAAGUUCCUUGGAAUGGGACAUCAUAGAGGGUGAGAAUCCCGUAUUUGGUUAUUCAUUCUAGCUUUGUGAUACACUUUCAAUGAGUCGGAUUGUUUGGGAAUGCAGUCCAAAAUGGGUGGUAAAUUUCAUCUAAAGCUAAAUAUUGGCGAGAGACCGAUAGCGAACAAGUACCGUGAGGGAAAGAUGAAAAGAACUUUGAAAAGAGAGUUAAACAGUACGUGAAAUUGUCAAAAGGGAAGCGUUUGACACCAGUGUUGUUUUUCUCGAAAAUCAAUUACGAAAUGGCUUGAUUUUGUGUUGUAUUGACCUUAUCAAGCUUUCUUCACUUUUUUCGAGUCUUUCUUAAUGCACUUUUCGGUUAACAAGUCAACAUCAAUUUCUUUUGUUGUAAAAGAGUAUUCGGAAGGUGGCUUUCUUUUCGGAGAAAGUGUUUAUAGCCCUAUACUUCUACAAUCGGAGAGAUUGAGGUCUGCAGCGUAGAUCCUUCGGGGUUAGAUACACUUGUGCUAAGUUGUAGCUUUUCAUAGACAACUUGUUGACUAUGUUUAGUCAUGCGGCUUACUCGCUUGUGCUAUUUUACCUACGCUUAGGAUGUUGACUGAUAUGUAGUCGUA